rnacentral:rRNA from 2 species
GGGUUGUGAGGUUAAGCGACUAAGCGUACACGGUGGAUGCCUAGGCAGUCAGAGGCGAUGAAGGGCGUGCUAAUCUGCGAAAAGCGUCGGUAAGCUGAUAUGAAGCGUUAUAACCGACGAUACCCGAAUGGGGAAACCCAGUGCAAUACGUUGCACUAUCGUUAGAUGAAUACAUAGUCUAACGAGGCGAACCGGGGGAACUGAAACAUCUAAGUACCCCGAGGAAAAGAAAUCAACCGAGAUUCCCCCAGUAGCGGCGAGCGAACGGGGAGGAGCCCAGAGUCUGAAUCAGUUUGUGUGUUAGUGGAAGCGUCUGGAAAGUCGCACGGUACAGGGUGAUAGUCCCGUACACCAAAAUGCACAGGCUGUGAACUCGAUGAGUAGGGCGGGACACGUGACAUCCUGUCUGAAUAUGGGGGACCAUCCUCCAAGGCUAAAUACUCCUGACUGACCGAUAGUGAACCAGUACCGUGAGGGAAAGGCGAAAAGAACCCCGGCGAGGGGAGUGAAAUAGAACCUGAAACCGUGUACGUACAAGCAGUGGGAGCACCUUCGUGGUGUGACUGCGUACCUUUUGUAUAAUGGGUCAGCGACUUAUAUUUUGUAGCAAGGUUAACCGAAUAGGGGAGCCGUAGGGAAACCGAGUCUUAACUGGGCGUCUAGUUGCAAGGUAUAGACCCGAAACCCGGUGAUCUAGCCAUGGGCAGGUUGAAGGUUGGGUAACACUAACUGGAGGACCGAACCGACUAAUGUUGAAAAAUUAGCGGAUGACUUGUGGCUGGGGGUGAAAGGCCAAUCAAACCGGGAGAUAGCUGGUUCUCCCCGAAAGCUAUUUAGGUAGCGCCUCGUGAACUCAUCUUCGGGGGUAGAGCACUGUUUCGGCUAGGGGGCCAUCCCGGCUUACCAAACCGAUGCAAACUCCGAAUACCGAAGAAUGUUAUCACGGGAGACACACGGCGGGUGCUAACGUCCGUCGUGAAGAGGGAAACAACCCAGACCGCCAGCUAAGGUCCCAAAGUCAUGGUUAAGUGGGAAACGAUGUGGGAAGGCACAGACAGCCAGGAUGUUGGCUUAGAAGCAGCCAUCAUUUAAAGAAAGCGUAAUAGCUCACUGGUCGAGUCGGCCUGCGCGGAAGAUGUAACGGGGCUAAACCAUGCACCGAAGCUGCGGCAGCGACACUUAGGUGUUGUUGGGUAGGGGAGCGUUCUGUAAGCCGUUGAAGGUGACCUGUGAGGGUUGCUGGAGGUAUCAGAAGUGCGAAUGCUGACAUAAGUAACGAUAAUGCGGGUGAAAAACCCGCACGCCGGAAGACCAAGGGUUCCUGUCCAACGUUAAUCGGGGCAGGGUGAGUCGACCCCUAAGGCGAGGCUGAAAAGCGUAGUCGAUGGGAAACAGGUUAAUAUUCCUGUACUUGGUGUUACUGCGAAGGGGGGACGGAGAAGGCUAGGCUGGCCGGGCGACGGUUGUCCCGGUUUAAGCGUGUAGGGGGAGUGACCAGGUAAAUCCGGUUGCUUAUCAACCCUGAGGCGUGAUGACGAUGCACCACGGUGCAGAAGCAGUUGAUGCCAUGCUUCCAGGAAAAGCCUCUAAGCAUCAGGUAACAUUAAAUCGUACCCCAAACCGACACAGGUGGUCAGGUAGAGAAUACUCAGGCGCUUGAGAGAACUCGGGUGAAGGAACUAGGCAAAAUGGUGCCGUAACUUCGGGAGAAGGCACGCUGGCGUUAGGUGAAAGGACUAGCUCCUGGAGCUGAAGCCAGUCGCAGAUACCAGCUGGCUGCAACUGUUUAAUAAAAACACAGCACUGUGCAAACACGAAAGUGGACGUAUACGGUGUGACGCCUGCCCGGUGCUGGAAGGUUAAUUGAUGGGGUCAGCCGCAAGGCGAAGCUCUUGAUCGAAGCCCCAGUAAACGGCGGCCGUAACUAUAACGGUCCUAAGGUAGCGAAAUUCCUUGUCGGGUAAGUUCCGACCUGCACGAAUGGCGUAAUGAUGGCCAGGCUGUCUCCACCCGAGACUCAGUGAAAUUGAACUCGCUGUGAAGAUGCAGUGUACCCGCGGCAAGACGGAAAGACCCCGUGAACCUUUACUAUAGCUUGACACUGAACAUUGAGCCUUGAUGUGUAGGAUAGGUGGGAGGCCUUGAAGUGUGGACGCCAGUCUGCAUGGAGCCAACCUUGAAAUACCACCCUUUAAUGUUUGAUGUUCUAACUCGGCCCCAUGAUCUGGGGUGAGGACAGUGUCUGGUGGGUAGUUUGACUGGGGCGGUCUCCUCCCAAAGAGUAACGGAGGAGCACGAAGGUUAGCUAAUCACGGUCGGACAUCGUGAGGUUAGUGCAAAGGCAUAAGCUAGCUUGACUGCGAGAGUGACGGCUCGAGCAGGUACGAAAGUAGGUCUUAGUGAUCCGGUGGUUCUGAAUGGAAGGGCCAUCGCUCAACGGAUAAAAGGUACUCCGGGGAUAACAGGCUGAUACCGCCCAAGAGUUCAUAUCGACGGCGGUGUUUGGCACCUCGAUGUCGGCUCAUCACAUCCUGGGGCUGAAGUAGGUCCCAAGGGUAUGGCUGUUCGCCAUUUAAAGUGGUACGCGAGCUGGGUUUAGAACGUCGUGAGACAGUUCGGUCCCUAUCUGCCGUGGGCGUUGGAAGAUUGAGAGGGGCUGCUCCUAGUACGAGAGGACCGGAGUGGACGAAUCACUGGUGUUCGGGUUGUCAUGCCAAUGGCAUUGCCCGGUAGCUAAAUUCGGAAGAGAUAACCGCUGAAAGCAUCUAAGCGGGAAACUUGCCUCGAGAUGAGUCUUCCCUGGGGCUUAAAGCCCCCUGAAGGAACGUUAAAGACUAUGACGUUGAUAGGCUGGGUGUGUAAGUGCAGCGAUGUAUUGAGCUAACCAGUACUAAUGAUCCGUGAGGCUUAACCUUACAACACCGAAGGUGUUU